rnacentral:lncRNA from 1 species
CGGCACGGCACGGCACGGCGCGGCCGCCCGCUGGGAGGGCAGGGGGAGCGGGCGGCGAGGCCUACCUCCGGGGGCACCAGGAAGCCCGGCCACAGCCGACUCUCAGGGAAGAAAAGCCGCACAAAGGGGGGAAAUAAAACGUUCGCGAGUUGAAAGAAGACUGCUGAAAGAGGGAGAAAGAUAUUUGAAUUGCUAUUGCUGCUGGAGAAAAGGAAUGAAAAAGAAGUCUUCAGUGGAUCAGGGAAUAUCAGACUUACAGUUAUACCAGUAUCUUACCAAAAGCAGAGAAGUUCACCGGGGAAUUAGCCAGCUUACAAGCCUUGCAAGCUUCAGCACAUCUUUGUAGUUAGCUGAAAUUUACUUUAUCAUUUUUUUUUCCAGAAUUUGGUUUUAUAACACUUAAAUAUCUACUUUCAAUAGGAAAAUCUAGACCUUUCAUUGCAUGGUAACAGUAGUAAGAGCUUAUAAGAAUUCAUUUUUUGUUACAUACUCCUUUUGGUCUUUAAACAAAAAUAUAAAACCAGCAAAAAGAAUCUUCUGUUUUUUUGAUACAAGCACAGUAAUGAAGUUGUGUUCAGAGGAAUAGGUGGCAGCCGUAUUUUUUCCUGAAAACUGAUUCUUGUACUAACCAAGCUUUGGAGAGAAAGAGAUACUCGAUCCAUGAAGUUCUGACUGUCCUCAAAAGCAAAGGCAGCCUCAGGGACUGCGAGCAGCUACUUGUGGAGUUCAUUGAGUGGGGAAACCCUGCAACUGGUUAUCUCUGCUUUUCCUGCUAGCUUGUAUUGGAUAUGCAGAAAGUCUUUCAAGAGGCUUUAGAAUAAAACAGACAAUUGCAGUGUGUGCA